rnacentral:rRNA from 1 species
UGAGGAAUAUUGGUCAAUGGGCGGGAGCCUGAACCAGCCAAGCCGCGUGAAGGAAGAAGGCGCUAAGCGUCGUAAACAUCUUUUGUCGGGGAACAAAGGUCCGGACGUGUCCGGAUGAGAGUGUACCCGAAGAAAAAGCAUCGGCUAACUCCGUGCCAGCAGCCGCGGUAAUACGGAGGAUGCGAGCGUUAUCCGGAUUUAUUGGGUUUAAAGGGUGCGUAGGCGGUCUGUUAAGUCAGCGGUAAAAGCCCGGGGCUCAACCCCGGCGAGCCGUUGAAACUGGCGGACUAGAGAGGGCGAGAAGUACGCGGAAUGCGCAGUGUAGCGGUGAAAUGCAUAGAUAUUGCGCAGAACUCCGAUUGCGAAGGCAGCGUACCGGCGCCUUUGCUGACGCUGAGGCACGAAAGCGUGGGUAUCGAACAGGAUUAGAUACC